AUGUACUGCUCUUUUUGUAAUAGUUUAAUACAUCUGAAUAUUUGAGAAUGAAUUCAGCACUUGAUUGUGUUUCUUAAUCUUAAAAGCUUUAAAAAUAGUUUGAAAGAAAUGGCAUGAAUGCCAGAAGAUGUGAAUAUUGCUGAAAAGUAUUCAUUUUUUAAAGCGUUUUGCCAUGUACUCAUCAAGGCCAUUUGCAGGAAAUAUCAAUGUAAAGGGCUUUUUUUACUCCAUAUGAGUAGGGGAUGUUGAUUGUUGCUGCAAGGAUUCUGACUAACGAAGGCAUGCCGUUGAGAAUGUACAGUGAGGGAAUUCAGUGGUAAUGAAACAGUGGGAGAAGGGCCAAUCCACCCUGAAGAAGGUCUUUGAGAUCGAAUGCGAACAGCAAACAGCCACUGAACUCAUCUUGAGAAGUAAAUGUUGUAUCCUUGAAAAAUCACCAGAAUGAUUACAUUGUCACCAGCAAUGCAAGGUGUAGUUAUGAACGUAUAUGUUCCAAAUCAAACCUUGAAUCCAGCAAAGAUUUCAGAGCAACAGCUACUUGGUUUAGCUGGAACAAAAAUAUCAAGCAUUACAAGAGGAGGCCAAGAUUGCUCAGAUACUACCAAAAGAUCCUGAUGCCAACCUUGACAACUUCCAGCUAUUCAAGAUCAGACCAGUGGCCAAAACAAGAGUAACCCAUUAUGUCACAUCAGCAACAUGGAUGAAAUGCCCAUGAUUUUCAAUAUGCUCAGCAACCAAACUGCAUUAAGGUUCAAAUACCGUUCUAGUGAAAAUCAUAAGACGAGAAGAAAGGUUCACAGUAGUAACUGCCUGCAUGUCCCCAACAAAAAUAAAUUAAAGCCUAUAGUAUUUUUUAUAGUUAAAGCAAUGCCAUAAAUAAAGUUCCCUGUAAUUAUCUUUGUGCAUGAGUAUGACAACAGUUGGGCAGAUGAGAUGGGGUGAAGCUGUGAAUUGCUAAUGUAUGGAAAAGAUAUUCCAUAGCCCAAUCAAAGUAUACAGUCUAUUAGUGUCAAACUUUUUCAGAUCUGUCAUAACUAACGAGAUCGAGCAGUGUUUGUGAAGAAACAACACUCAAAUUGCAGUUUACCAUAUUUCCUUAAAUAUUUUCUUGAUGUAAAUAACUACUACUUUCUUAUUUAUCUGAAAAAUAAAAGGAUCUCUUAUAAAUGAA